rnacentral:ribozyme from 1 species
CCCGCGUUCUUGCAGGCUUUCGGCGGGCCGCAGACGUUGCCGCCCCCCUCCAGCACCAGCACCGCCGCAACCCCGCUCCACACCAA